UGGGGAAUAUUGCACAAUGGGGGAAACCCUGAUGCAGCAACGCCGCGUGAAGGAAGACGGUUUUCGGAUUGUAAACUUCUGUUCUUAGUGAAGAAUAAUGACGGUAGCUAAGGAGCAAGCCACGGCUAACUACGUGCCAGCAGCCGCGGUAAUACGUAGGUGGCAAGCGUUGUCCGGAAUUACUGGGUGUAAAGGGAGCGCAGGCGGGAGACCAAGUCAGCUCUGAAAACUACGGGCUUAACCUGUAGACUGCAGUUGAAACUGGUUUUCUUGAGUGAAGUAGAGGUUGGCGGAAUUCCGAGUGUAGCGGUGAAAUGCGUAGAUAUUCGGAGGAACACCGGUGGCGAAGGCGGCCAACUGGGCUUUAACUGACGCUGAGGCUCGAAAGUGUGGGAGCAAACAGGAUUAGAUACC
rnacentral:rRNA from 1 species